rnacentral:rRNA from 1 species
AACGAACGCUGGCGGCAUGCCUAACACAUGCAAGUCGAACGAGAUCUUCGGGUCUAGUGGCGCACGGGUGCGUAACGCGUGGGAAUCUGCCCUUUGGUUCGGAAUAACAGUUGGAAACGACUGCUAAUACCGGAUGAUGACGAAAGUCCAAAGAUUUAUCGCCAGAGGAUCAGCCCGCGUAGGAUUAGCUAGUUGGUGUGGGAAAGGCGCACCAAGGCGACGAUCCUUAGCUGGUCUGAGAGGAUGAUCAGCCACACUGGGACUGAGACACGGCCCAGACUCCUACGGGAGGCAGCAGUGGGGAAUAUUGGACAAUGGGCGAAAGCCUGAUCCAGCAAUGCCGCGUGAGUGAUGAAGGCCUUAGGGUUGUAAAGCUCUUUUACCCGGGAUGAUAAUGACAGUACCGGGAGAAUAAGCUCCGGCUAACUCCGUGCCAGCAGCCGCGGUAA